UUAGGUUUUUAACCUGCGGUUUAC
rnacentral:snRNA from 1 species